rnacentral:rRNA from 1 species
CCUACGGGAGGCAGCAGUGAGGAAUAUUGGUCAAUGGGCGCGAGCCUGAACCAGCCAAGUCGCGUGAGGGAAGACGGUCCUAUGGAUUGUAAACCUCUUUUGUCGGGGAGCAAAAGACGCCGCGCGUGGCGUUCCGAGAGUACCCGAAGAACAAGCAUCGGCUAACUCCGUGCCAGCAGCCGCGGUAAUACGGAGGAUGCGAUCGUUAUCCGGAUUUAUGGGGUUUAAAGGGUGGGCAGGUGGAAGAUCAAGUGAGCGGUAAAAUUGAGAGGCUCAACCUCUUCGAGCCGUUGAAACUGGUUUUCUUGAGUGAGCGAGAAGUAUGCGGAAUGCGUGGUGUAGCGGUGAAAUGCAUAGAUAUCACGAAGAACUCCGAUUGCGAAGGCAGCAUACCGGCGCUCAACUGACGCUCAUGCACGAAAGUGUGGGUAUCGAACAGGAUUAGAUACCCCAGUAGUC